rnacentral:rRNA from 1 species
GUAGGGAAUAUUGCGCAAUGGGGGAAACCCUGACGCAGCGACGCCGCGUGAGCGAUGAAGGACUUCGGUUUGUAAAGCUCUGUCGCAGGGGAAUAAUUUUGAAGGUACCCUGUAAGAAAGGAUCGGCUAACUUCGUGCCAGCAGCCGCGGUAAGACGAGGGAUCCUAGCGUUGUUCGGAAUCAUUGGGCGUAAAGCGGGUGUAGGUGGCUUUGUAAGUCAGAUGUGAAAUCCCUGGGCUUAACCCAGGACGUGCAUUUGAUACUGCUAAGCUUGAGUGUGGGAGAGGCUAGUGGAAUUCCUGGUGUAGUGGUGAAAUACGUAGAUAUCAGGAGGAACAUCGGAGGCGAAGGCGGCUAGCUGGCCCAACACUGACACUGAGAUCCGAAAGCGUGGGGAUCAAACAGGAUUAGAAACCCGGGUAGUCC